AAGGUUUUAGCUUAAUUAAAGUCCCUGUUUUGCAUACAGGAGAUGUGGGUUAAUGUCCUGCAAGUCUUA
rnacentral:tRNA from 1 species